CUGUGUAUGACGACAACGUGUUAGGGACAUCUGCACCAACCGUGAAGAUUUAACGAAAGUAGUACUGACACAG
ensembl:snoRNA C46C2.8 ncRNA